rnacentral:rRNA from 1 species
AAUUUUAAUUUUAAUUAAUUUAAAUUAAGUAAAAAUGUUUUUAUUAGUAUAUUAAUAUUUAAAGUUAAGAUUUAAUUAAUAAUUUUAAUUAAGGAACUCGGCAAAUUCUUCUUCGUCUGUUUAUCAAAAACAUUGCUUUCUGAGAAAAAUAGAAAGUAUGGUCUGCCCAGUGAGAUUUUUAACGGCCGCAAUAUUUGUGCGAAGGUAGCAUAAUCAUUUGUCUUUUAAUUGAUGACUGGAAUGAAUGGCUGGACGGGGAAAUACUGUCUCUUUUAUAUUUAUUUGAAAUUUACUUUCAAGUUAAAAGGCUUGAAUUUUAUAGAGGGACGAGAAGACCCUAUAGAGUUUUAUAAUAGGAUAUUUAAAUUUUUCUUUAAUUUAAUAUUUUAUUAUUUAGUUGGGGAGACAUUGUAAUAAAAUCUAUAUACAGAAUUAAUAGACAAUAAGUUUUUAUGAUCCAUAAUUUAUGAUAGUUAGAUUAAAUUACCUUAGGGAUAACAGCGUAAUAUUUUU